rnacentral:misc_RNA from 1 species
AAAUUCGUAACAAGGAUUCCGUAGGUCAACCUGCGGAAGGAUCAUUCAUAAUAAGUUUUAUGGAACUUUUUAAAUCCAUAUCCACCUUGUGUGCAAUGUCAGUUGUUCUUCUUUAUGGAGGAUGACCAAACAUCAACUUAUUUUUUAACUCUGUCUGAAAAAUAUUAUGAAUAAAAGAAAUCAAAAUACAACUUUCAACAACGGAUCUCUUGGCUCUC